CUUAUACUCCCUCCGUUCCUAAAUAUUUGUCUUUCUAGAGAUUUUCAACAAAUGACUACAUACGGAUGUAUAUAGACAUAUUUUAGAGUGUAGAUUCACUCAUUUUGCUCCGUAUGUAGUCACAUAUUGAAAUGUCUAGAAAGACAAAUAUUUAGGAACGGAGGGAGUGUAAU
rnacentral:pre_miRNA from 1 species